AAGUGUGGUCAGAGAAACGCGGCGAGAGAUUUCCUUUGGCAGCCGUGGGCCACGGACCUUUUCAUUACCCUUUGUCUCUCUUCUUGUCCCUUUGUUUUGUCUCCCUGUGUCUGCCCGUGCCCGUCCAGCGGAGCGGAGAUGCAGAGCAGCCGGCGCAGACUUGCACUGAUGCCCCCGAGCAGCCGAGAUGAGGCGAGCACGGCUUGGCUUGGACUGGUCCCAGCCCACCAGGAGGAUGAGGGUGCCAGGACAAGGACACACCCUUGGCAAAGGUGGCACCUGGGUGGGCAGCUGAACCAAGGGAGGGAGAGAUCCCUCUGCUCCCAGGGGGAGGUCGCUGAAGAUGUUUUGCCUCCUUUUUGUGCUUGCUGGUUGUGAACAUCAAAUGCCAAGGAGCUGUUCAUAGAUACACGUACAGGAUGUAAAAGCAAACCAGUGGUACUUCCUUCCUGCCCGAGAGUCCAUCCGUGACUGCUGUGCAGCAGUGGAGGGUCCAACCCAGCCCCCUCUGCUGCCUGUGUAUGUAAGAUGUUCACUGAAGCUCUGUCCCUGCAGAUGUCUUGAGAAACGUGCUUGCUGUAAAUCCUAUUGUACCGCUGACGUGACCAGGGCCAUCCCCUGCUUCCACCCGCUGCCACCAUGCAAGGAUCAGAGCUGCCACCAGCCCAGGGGACACUUUUCCCAGCACAGGACUGGUGUCCUGCAGCACCUCGCCUCUAGGGCAGCAAGUACUGCCAAAAGCCUCUUGUACAAAACAAUACUGGGGGAGCCAAAGAACCUUUCCUGCCCCUGGAAGGGACUUGCUGGCAGUGUCUCCAUGCUUUGGAAAUGGAUCCCCUGAGAGCACGACGAGUGCUCCUGGCUGAAGGAGCAUCCCAGCUCUGCUUGCCCAGGGUAAAAUUAACCACCCAGCGUUUUCACACCUCCUUCCAAAGCACUGCAGAGGGGACAAUACCUCCACCUCCUGUGGGAGCUGUGACCAGCUGCAAACCAGCACAGCCCGAGGGCACAGCCAGAGCCCCUCCUCUGGUCCGAAGUGCAUGGCCCCCAGCUACCCCAGCACCAUCAGCUGCUUUGUAAAUGUAGAUGUUUGACAUGCAAGUUUUACAGCUAAAGAGCAAUCGUGGGUAAUGAAGAAUAAAUGCAGUUGCUCCACCCCCAUCUGCCAGCAACACAGAAUUUUUCUGCUGCUCCUUUCUGAUUGUGAAAAAACCAGGUUUCUCAAAAAAAAAAAAAAAAAACACAAAAAACCAACAACCAAAACAAAAAAAGGGCUUCAAUGAAAUAGCUUCUUGGUACUUGAACACAGCUGGGCUGAACAACUGAUUUACUACUCAUUGGAAAGCAGUUCCAGGCAGGAACCAAUUUCCCCAAGUUCAUUGGUGUUGCCAAAUCCAUAUUUACCAUGGAAAAGGUGCUUUGGCAGGUGACCCCCACCCUCCCAGCCUUUUGCCUGGUUGGCCAUCCUUGCUGCAGGGGUUUGGGGUUGCUCACAGCUCUCAGCAGGGCCUUGUGCUGGGAGCAGCUCUGGCACACACAGCCAUGGGGUCAGGAGAGUCAGAUGGGAGAGGGGACUCCAUCUGUGCCACACUCCUGCUGCCCAAGACACAAAGCUGCAUGUCCCUCCCUGUGUGCAUUGACUGGCACACAUUUUAUUAGAGACCUUCCAGAGGUGGUGGAAAUUGCCCUUAAAUCUUGCUGUGAGCGUUGUGCUGAGCUCUGUGGGCAAGAAGAUGAAGCUCACAGUCCCAGUAUUCUCCACAGGGCUGUUUUAUUCCUUGCCUCCUGCUUGUUCUGGGCUGACCCUGCAGCUCACACACAUGCAUCCACUCCAGCCAGGAUGCAUUUUAUUGCUACCCAGCCCAAACUGCAUCCACUGCAAGACACCACCAAGAGUUCCUUGAUAUCUAAACCCCAGGUACAAGGAGACCCUGGCUAGAUCUGACAUUCCUGCCCAGGUAAAAGCAAUGUCUUCUCCCACAUGCUUGCCAACCACAGUGUGGCAACACAGCCCUGUAAUUUCCAGCUGACUUUGCUGCAUGCUCACACACACAAUGCACUUUGAAGCAGUGCUGCAAUUUAUUUCCCAAACUGGCACUCAGCAUUCCCAUCCACCUGUGGGAGCAGCAUGGUGCAAAACCCCAGGUCACAGUGGCACCAUCUGAAGCAGGGUUCAUUACAGUGAAUCCCACCAGAGCUCAUGCUAACCACAACCUAUCCUUCCUCCUCUUGUCAUCCAUAUAAGUACCUAAGCCAGGCUAAAAGUCAAGUCCUGCUUCUCUUGCACCCACCCAAGUGGCCAGAGGGAAGCAACAACACCCUUUCCCCACUGCUGGAAGGGUGGAGUGGGAAGUGAAGGUUUUGUUAUUUUGUUCAGGCUCUAAGAAUGGCAAAGGCCAGAGCAGCUCAAUCCAUCUUCCAGCUCUGAGAAUGCUUUCAACAGGCAGGUGGAAGAGAAUGGCACAUUUUGGCUUGGGAUCAAAACAGGGGCUCACCUGUGCCAGCACUGCUGGAGGUGAUGGCAGUGCUCCCCCAGACACCCAGCAAGUGAUCCCACCCUGGCCCACACCCCAGCACAGGCACUGCUCCCAAGGCUGGGAAGGGGAUUGCUGGCUCAAGGCUGUGUGCUCUGUGGUUUUGGCCAUGCAUGGGUAGCUCAGAUUUCCCACCUUAGGAAGGAGGGAGCAGGGGCCUGCCCACCUGUGCUGUUUGCACCUUGCUGGUGAGCCCACCUUUCCUUUUGGUACUGGAGGCCAAACUGAGGGGUUGCAGAGGACCAUUUGUAUGCCUGUUUAUAUCACUGAGUAUUGGAUUGUGACUUCUUGUGUUUUGAUACUGUGGAUAUUUUUUUUUAAAGUUAAAUAUAUUCUAUUGCUGGACAGCU